rnacentral:rRNA from 1 species
CGGAUGAACGCUAGCGGCAGGCUUAACACAUGCAAGUCGAGGGGUAACAGGUCUUCGGACGCUGACGACCGGCAAACGGGUGCGGAACACGUACGCAAUCUACCCUUAUCUUGGGGAUAGCCCACUGAAAAGUGGAUUAAUACCCGAUAGGAUUAUAGUUUGGCAUCAAACAGUAAUUAAAGAUUUAUUGGAUAGGGAUGAGCGUGCGUAAGAUUAGGUAGUUGGUGAGGUAACGGCUCACCAAGCCAACGAUCUUUAGCUGAUGUGAGAGCAUGAUCAGCCACAUGGGCACUGAGACACGGGCCCAACUCCUACGGGAGGCAGCAGUGAGGAAUAUUGGUCAAUGGACGAAAGUCUGAACCAGCCAUGCCGCGUGAAGGAUGAAGGCGUUCUGCGUUGUAAACUUCUUUUAUCAGGGAAGAAACCACCGUAUUCUUAUGGUGUUGACGGUACCUGAGGAAUAAGCACCGGCUAACUCCGUG